UACGUAGGGCGCGAGCGUUGUCCGGAAUCAUUGGGCGUAAAGAGCUCGUAGGCGGCCGGUUGCGUCUGCUGUGAAAUCCCGGGGCUUAACCCCGGGCGUGCAGUGGAUACGGGCUGGCUGGAGGCAGGCAGGGGAGAAUGGAAUUCCCGGUGUAGCGGUGAAAUGCGCAGAUAUCGGGAGGAACACCGGUGGCGAAGGCGGGUCUCUGGGCCGAUACUGACGCUGAGGAGCGAAAGCGUGGGGAGCGAACAGG
rnacentral:rRNA from 1 species